UCAGAUUGAACGCUGGCGGCAGGCUUAACACAUGCAAGUCNAGCGGUAACAGGGGGUGCUUGCACCCCGCUGACGAGCGGCGGACGGGUGAGUAAUGCAUAGGAAACUGCCCAGUAGUGGGGGAUAGCCCGGGGAAACCCGGAUUAAUACCGCGUACGCCCUUCGGGGGAAAGCAGGGGCCCUUCGGACCUUGCGCUAUUGGAUGUGCCUAUGUCGGAUUAGCUAGUUGGCGGGGUAAAGGCCUACCAAGGCGACGAUCCGUAGCUGGUCUGAGAGGAUGAUCAGCCACAUCGGGACUGAGACACGGCCCGAACUCCUACGGGAGGCAGCAGUGGGGAAUAUUGGACAAUGGGGGCAACCCUGAUCCAGCCAUGCCGCGUGUGUGAAGAAGGCUUUCGGGUUGUAAAGCACUUUCAGUGAGGAGGAAGGCUUGAAGGUUAAUACCCUUCGGGAUUGACGUUACUCACAGAANAAGCACCGGCUAACUCCGUGCCAGCAGCCGCGGUAAUACGGAGGGUGCAAGCGUUAAUCGGAAUUACUGGGCGUAAAGCGCGCGUAGGUGGUUUGAUAAGCGAGAUGUGAAAG
rnacentral:rRNA from 1 species